rnacentral:rRNA from 1 species
UUUCUGCCCUAUCAACUUGUUGGUAAGGUAGUGGCUUACCAAGGUGAUAACGGGUAACGGGGAAUCAGGGUUCGAUUCCGGAGAGGGAGCCUGAGAAACGGCUACCACAUCCAAGGAUGGCAGCAGGCGCGCAAAUUACCCAAUCCAGACACUGGGAGGUGGUGACGAGAAAUACCAGGUCGUUCCCAAAAGGAUUCGACACUGGAAUGAGUGCAAUUUAAAAAUUUCAAUGAGUAACAACUGGAGGGCAAGUCUGGUGCCAGCAGCCGCGGUAAUUCCAGCUCCAGUAGUGUAUCCAAACGUUGCUGCGGUUAAAACGCUCGUAGUUGGACAAGAGAGUAGCUUGGUGCGGGCGGGGAGUGUUUUACUAUAUGUGUAAUCCUUUUAUUGUACAGAUCUGUCGUAAGAUGGGUUUGUGCUUUAACUGGAUCUUGAGCAUAUUUGUAUCGCUUGUCGACCAUGCUGCCAGGCUACUUGUAAUGUUUCGUGAGAAUGUUACAUGAUCUUUACUGUAUUGUGUAACGUGUCUUACGUAGUGUGCCUUGAAUAAAUCAGAGUGCUCAAAGCAAGCUAUAGCUUGAAUGUUAAUAGCAUGGAACGAAUGUUUAGUGGAAGUGAGUUUGUUGAAUUCACUCGUGGGAUUCGAUGGCUCACAGCACCAACCACGAAGCGGAGCAUUGGUUGCCGACUUCGGGUGAGGAUUAAGAGGGGCAUUUGGGGGCAUUAGUAUUUGGCCGCGAGAGGUGAAAUUCUUGGACCGGCUAAGGACUAACAAGUGCGAAAGCAUUUGCCAAGUAUGUUCCCUUUAAUCAAGAACGAAAGUGAGAGGUUCGAAGACGAUCAGAUACCGUCCUAGUUCUCACCGUAAACGAUGCCAACCCGGGAUCAGUUCGGAUGCACACCAAUUGAUCCAGGUUGGUCCCCCAGUGAAACCA